AUCCAGCUGACAAGUCUCAAAUAGAACGAAACGCAUCGUCCUGAAU
rnacentral:hammerhead_ribozyme from 1 species